UCUCUGCCUCAACAAGAAUGGAGUGCUCGAACGAAAAUUUUAGCAGAGUUUUGAGAUAGAGAUUAGAGCUUAGAGAAUAACGUAUCUGGGGGUCCCCUUUUUAUAGGCGGAGGGUGCAACAGAUUGACAGCGACAUCUGUAACCGCCUGGUAGUGGGCCGUUCGGGGCCAUGAGGAGUUUGUUAUGGAGAGUAGUGGAGUGGAGUCGUGGCCAUCGCUGUGGCCUGCCAUGUGGAGCCUGUUGUGGAGAGUGGAGUGAUGUCCGUUGUCGUGACUUGCCAGAGUAUGAUGGAG
rnacentral:lncRNA from 1 species